GAGACUCUAGUCUUCGAGACCGACAUCGUAUGCUCAGCUCCAAGAAUUUUCACUUCAUAUAGCAGAUUAAUACAUUGCUCUUUAAAACCAUACUUGAGAAAAGCUUUGUAUAUAGGUCACAUUCGUGCGAGAGGGUGAUUUUGUCAAAAAUCAUGUGGCUCUUGGAUCUUUUAUUAAACAAUUUACAAGAGUUCUCAGAUGGUGUUACAGAAGACCUAAUAGUGG
rnacentral:lncRNA from 1 species